rnacentral:rRNA from 1 species
CCAGACUCCUACGGGAGGCAGCAGUGAGGAAUAUUGGUCAAUGGGCGCAAGCCUGAACCAGCCAAGUCGCGUGAGGGAAGACGGCCCUACGGGUUGUAAACCUCUUUUGUCGGGGAGCAAAGCGAACCACGUGUGGUUCAUUGAGAGUACCCGAAGAAAAAGCAUCGGCUAACUCCGUGCCAGCAGCCGCGGUAAUACGGAGGAUGCGAGCGUUAUCCGGAUUUAUUGGGUUUAAAGGGUGCGCAGGCGGAGGUGCAAGCCAGCGGUCAAAUGGCGGGGCUCAACCCCGGCCUGCCGUUGAAACUGGCGGCCUCGAGUGGGCGAGAAGUAUGCGGAAUGCGUGGUGUAGCGGUGAAAUGCAUAGAUAUCACGCAGAACUCCGAUUGCGAAGGCAGCAUACCGGCGCCCGACUGACGCUGAGGCACGAAAGCGUGGGUAUCGAACAGGAUUAGAUACCCGAGUA